rnacentral:misc_RNA from 1 species
GAAAUGCGAUAAGUAAUGUGAAUUGCAGAAUUCAGUGAAUCAUCGAAUCUUUGAACGCACAUUGCGCCCGCCAGUAUUCUGGCGGGCAUGCCUGUUCGAGCGUCAUUACAACCCUCAGGCCCCCGGGCCUGGCGUUGGGGAUCGGCGGAAGCCCCCUGCGGGCACAACGCCGUCCUCCAAAUACAGUGGCGGUCCCGCCGCAGCUUCCAUUGCGUAGUAGCUAACACCUCGCAACUGGAGAGCGGCGCGGCCACGCCGUAAAACACCCAACUUCUGAAUGUUGACCUCGAAUCAGGUAGGAAUACCCGCUGAACUUAAGC